rnacentral:misc_RNA from 1 species
UUUCCGUAGGUGAACCUGCGGAAGGAUCAUUAACGAGUUAGGUUCUUCCAGGCCCGACCUCCCAACCCUAUGUUUAUUGAACCUCUGUUGCUUCGGCGGACCCGUCUCACGACCGCCGGAGGACCGCCGCGAGGCGUCCUCUGGCCAGCGUCCGCCGAUGGCCAACCACUUAACUCUGAGUGAAUCGUGUCAUUAUGUCUAAGUCUAUGAUUAAAUUAAAGCAAAACUUUCAACAACGGAUCUCUUGGUUCUG